rnacentral:rRNA from 13 species
GCCAACGACGAAAGCGCGCUGAAAAUGCUGGUUUUCAUCCGAUCGCCAGAGUUAAGCAGCGCGCGGCACGAAUAGUUACUAAGAUGGGUGACCGCCCCCUUAGGAAUUCCGUGCGCCGUUGGUA